rnacentral:rRNA from 1 species
CAGUAGCCACGGGAAUACGAGGGGGGCAAGCGUUGUUCGGAAUUAUUGGGCGUAAAGGGCGCGUAGGCGGUUUGGCAAGUUUGGUGUGAAAUCUUCGGGCUCAACUCGAAGUCUGCACCGAAAACUGCCGGGCUUGAGUAUGGGAGAGGUGAGUGGAAUUUCCGGUGUAGCGGUGAAAUGCGUAGAUAUCGGAAGGAACACCUGUGGCGAAAGCGGCUCACUGGACCAUUACUGACGCUGAGGCGCGAAAGCUAGGGGAGCAAACAGGAUUAGAUACCCGGGUAGUCCCUGUCUCUUAUAC